UAUGAGCCUAUACUGCAGUCGAACGCUUUUUCUUUCACCGGAGCUUGCUCCACCGAAAGAAAAAGAGUGGCGAACGGGUGAGUAACACGUGGGUAACCUGCCCAUCAGAAGGGGAUAACACUUGGAAACAGGUGCUAAUACCGUAUAACACUAUUUUCCGCAUGGAAGAAAGUUGAAAGGCGCUUUUGCGUCACUGAUGGAUGGACCCGCGGUGCAUUAGCUAGUUGGUGAGGUAACGGCUCACCAAGGCAACGAUGCAUAGCCGACCUGAGAGGGUGAUCGGCCACACUGGGACUGAGACACGGCCCAGACUCCUACGGGAGGCAGCAGUAGGGAAUCUUCGGCAAUGGACGAAAGUCUGACCGAGCAACGCCGCGUGAGUGAAGAAGGUUUUCGGAUCGUAAAACUCUGUUGUUAGAGAAGAACAAGGAUGAGAGUAAAAUGUUCAUCCCUUGACGGUAUCUAACCAGAAAGCCACGGCUAACUACGUGCCAGCAGCCGCGGUAAUACGUAGGUGGCAAGCGUUGUCCGGAUUUAUUGGGCGUAAAGCGAGCGCAGGCGGUUUCUUAAGUCUGAUGUGAAAGCCCCCGGCUCAACCGGGGAGGGUCAUUGGAAACUGGGAGACUUGAGUGCAGAAGAGGAGAGUGGAAUUCCAUGUGUAGCGGUGAAAUGCGUAGAUAUAUGGAGGAACACCAGUGGCGAAGGCGGCUCUCUGGUCUGUAACUGACGCUGAGGCUCGAAAGCGUGGGGAGCGAACAGGAUUAGAUACCCUGGUAGUCCACGCCGUAAACGAUGAGUGCUAAGUGUUGGAGGGUUUCCGCCCUUCAGUGCUGCAGCAAACGCAUUAAGCACUCCGCCUGGGGAGUACGACCGCAAGGUUGAAACUCAAAGGAAUUGACGGGGGCCCGCACAAGCGGUGGAGCAUGUGGUUUAAUUCGAAGCAACGCGAAGACCUUACCAGGUCUUGACAUCCUUUGACCACUCUAGAGAUAGAGCUUCC
rnacentral:rRNA from 1 species